GUUACAACCAGCAUAUUUUUAGUGGAAUUUAAUGGAAUGAACUAGAAUAGAAAAUAAUAGAGUGCAAAGCACGACUUAAAUACAAGGGCUGAUUCGUGCAACUUUUACUUAUAUAUUUACACAUGUAGCGUUAAAGUUGUGGGUAUAUAGGGUUGUGAUGUACACUUUGUUUCUUACUGUGGGUCACAGUCAAAGAGAGUUGAAAACCACUGUUUUAGAGGGUAAAUGUGACACCAAACAAGCAGCCCAUCGGAUACCUCCUGCAGGCAGAGAGGAGCCAGGUCCAGGGCCUGCUUCAGUGCAUGGAACAGGGUUGAGACCCGGGCUGCCCAGAGCACUUUCCCACACAGGGUCUGGAGCCAGCACUGAGGGAAACUCCCACUGUGAGGUCAUCAGGAAGGAACCCAGCACACCAGAGAAGUUCAGAAUGUUCAAAGUAGAGGGCAGAAGGUACGGUAUGACGGAGGCAGAUGUGGGACAUCAAAUGGGCCCAGGCAGUCAAGUCAGGGGCGAAAAGUAAUUUACCACUGUGCAGAAAAACAAGAAAACAUCUCUCAUGCCCCCUCAAAACCAUUUUGUUUGGCUUUGAGGCCAAUUACAUUCAAGAGAGAUAAUGAAAUAAUGCCUAUGAACGGCACCCUGUACCGAAGAAACAGAAAAAUUCACUCAAGUUGAUGCUUUUCUCCGGGAAUGCCACCUGUGCAAUGUUUCAUUUUUGGCUUCAACUCCAGAAAGUGAUUUGAGGACACCCAUUGGCUGUAAUGCUCUACCAGCAUCUUAACUUUUCAUUCUUCUGGUUGUUAUUCAUUUAUUUAUUGUAGUAGGCCUACUUUAAUUAAAGCUGACCUUCCUUGAA